GGGUUGUUUGUUUGUUUCCCCUGAAACGAUCGGGCUCUAGACCGGGAGUUAAGGACAAAGCGUUUCGUGAGGAAAACGAGAAAUUCCAGAAGAAAAAAGAUAAAAUAAGGAGGAAAAGAAGGCUUCGGGCUGACAAAAGGCGGCGCCGGCCGGCGCUGCCCCUCACAGCCCCUCCGGCGCUGGCCCCCGCACUCGCUUCACAAAAUGGCCGCCCGGCGGGGCUGCGGGAGCGGCACUGAGGCGACAAAAUGGCGGCUGGCGGAGAGCGGGGGAAGGACAGGCGAGGAGCGGCUGCGGGGCCGGAGCGGCUCGGGCACGGCGGAGGGGCUCUGAUCCUGUGUGAAUCCCCUCCGGGCGGGCGGCGGAAGCGCUGCGGGGGUUGAAGCCGCCAUGUCCUCGUCUCCUCACGGCAUGGAAAAUUCCCAAAACUGCUUAGGGGAAAAAAAAAAAAAAAAAAAAAAAAGCGCAAGCCCCAAACGCCCGAGGAUUGAUUUAUCAUCGGAGCCGGAGCGGUAUGGGAAGAAGCCAUUGCUGCUUGCCUCCCCACAACAGCUCGCCUGCCAUUUGCUUAAUUAAAAUCAUAUAUUGUUCUGAUCAGACUUGGUAAUACCAUUAAAAAAAACCCAAAUCCCGUAACACCUGCAAGCUCGUUGUUGGAGACUGUAGCCAAGAUACGUAGAUUUUCCUUGGAAGAUUUGGGAAGGAUUAUUUUUUAAUGAAAAACAGGAAAAAAAUACACCCAGAAAAAGCCAAAACCAAAACAAACAGUGAAAAAGAAACAAAAAGAAAAAAGCACAACAAAACCAAACCGCAUCCCUAAGUGACCUCCUGCAGCGCUGCCUCCACUGCGGUUCCCCACAGCUUUGCACUGGAGCACUAACGUGUGUCCCUGUGAGCCACAGUGACCUUGCUGGGGGGACUGGGCCCACCAGGUGAUUCAGUGCUGGAAUCUGCAUUGGCAGGUGUGCAAAUGUGAAGACUGUAACAGCAGCAAGUGAGGAUGGAUGAGCUGUUUUCUGGGGUCACAUCCAACUCCAGAGAAGAAACCCAUGUGAUUUAUAAUUUUUGUCUUAUCUCUGCUAGGCUUUACUCUGAGCUCCACUGUAUCUUGUGAGAAGACUGAGUUUGACCCUUUUCGCUACUAAAAAUGGUUCUCUUUUUAAACCUUGGUGUUUUUUCCCUUCCCUGUGGUCAUGCAGAAGAGCAAGCGGUGCAAUUAAACAGUACAGCAAAGGGCAGCUCCCUCCCCCUUUCCCUUUCAAAAAAUCCAGAGUUGUGUGUCCUGAACUGCUGCAUAGGCAGAAAACAUACAAAGCCCUUGUCAGCAUUGUGCUGAUGUGUGGCACGUUAAAAAAAUACACACAAAAGGGGUGGGGAGAGUGAGUGCCUCCAGGGAGCAAAACUGUGGGGCCCCUUUCCCUCCAAGCCUCUACAGACCUACGUGGGAUAGUCUAUUCCUCCCAAUUUUGCUCAGGCAACAGCAGUGGAGGUCGGAGGGAGUUUUGAACAUCUUAAGUUGUAUUGAUGAAGAUCAGGGUCCCCUUGAAUUAUAUUUUUUUUCUCUGUGAACUUGCUCCUGUGAGAUGCAGCUGGUUUAUUACUCCAUUCCUCAAAGUCCUGCUCACUCUCUGGGAAGAAGGGAAACACUGCUUCCUUACUGGGUGUCAUUUCUUUUGUUGUGUUGCAAAGGUAAUAAAAAGCACCUGGUGCUGGUCUCUGCCAGGUCACACAUGGCUUGGAGGCACAGCUUCCCGAAGUCAUUAGUGCACAGGGAGUGCUGGGGGUCGUUAGCCACCCUUAAUGAGCAUAUCGCACUGGGAUUCUAUGGAUGCCGCUGGUUGACCCAGCCCGGGAGAUGCCCCUGACAAGAAAUUAUUUCACUGGCUGGUUGCUGCAGGGAUUUCUAGCACAGCUACAACUUCAUCCUUCUUUUUGGCCAAAAUUAAGCACAGGGUGGGGACGAAGUGGCCAGGCCAGACUUCAUACCCUGCUGCCUGUGGUAGGUGUGUGAACAGCUCCUGUGCCUAAAGCCUUGUUUGGAAUAAGCCAGUGUGGACAGGGAUUUGGAUUUUAUUCCCUCAUUAGGGCUGUGUUGGUUUCGAGAUACACCUUGUUCUCUUCAUAGGCCUCUGCUGGCAGGGAGAUUCGGAGGAGCAAGAAACUGCCUGUUGGGAUGAUUCCACAUUUUUCAGACUGGCACACCCUGUGGGCCUCUAAAUUACUUUCCUUUGGCAGUUUAGGAUAAAUGACUGAGAAUUGCCGUAUGGGCACUGAACUUUUACCACCCUGAAGCGUUACUCGAGCUACAUCCAUGAUAUUUCCAAGCUAAACAAAACCUGAAUUUCCAGUGCCAAAAAGUGAUACGAAGUUCCACUCCUCCUGUGUAUAGGAGAAAACCACAGUCUUUCAACAUUUGCUUUUAGCCCAAAGAGUUAAAAAGCUGCACUGUGAGAUCUGCAGACAUGAAAAUAAAAGCCAAAGGCAGAUGAGAAACUUCUCCCAUGCCGUGGUGGAGGAGAGGCUUUAGAGCGCAGCAGGCGUUGAUGCACAAAUAUUUCUAUUUAUGCUUUCUCUGGAGUGAAGGAGCAGUAACUCCACAGACAUGGAGUAACUCCUUUUCGUUUAAACACCCUCAUGCUGCUGUGGUAUCAAAAUGGUGUUUGAUGAAACAAAAGCUCAGAUGGUGAUGGCUUGGUGUGCUGCUCAAUCCAAUGCGGGAUGUGGGAAGAGCAGCCUGUAGCUUGCAGGUUUGGACUGUGGGGUUUGCGCUAAAGCCUUGUCCUGUAACAUUUCCAGUGUAAUUUCUGAAUUUUUUUUUCCCCUGAGCGUUACACACUGGUAAAAAUCACAUCUGGAUAUAGAGUUAAUAGAACAAUUAGGUGUUAAAAAUGGCAAAGCACAGGAUUCAGUGAUCUAACCAGUCCUAGGGGAUUUAUAUCCUUUGCAGUUGUCCUGUUUGGGUAUCAAAUCACAUGGAACUGUUUUCUUUUUAUGUUUGCUUUCUUUGGUUUUCCCUUAAAAUGUAAUCUUUUGCAGCCUGGAAGGCCAUGGUCCUGUCUAGUGAUGAAAGCCCUGUGUUUGGGGAGAACCCUUGUGAGCAGGCAGCUCUCUGGCACAUGGUUGUACAGAAGUUUGGGGGCAAGGGGGAGCAGGGCAAAAGCUGGCACUGUGAUAUUCCCAUUUUUUCCCAACAAGAGGCUAAAAGAAAUGUGUUAUUUCUAAUAUAUCUACCAAAUCAUAAGUGAGAGUAAACUCUUUUGCAGUCUUA